AUUGAACGCUGGCGGCAGGCUUAACACAUGCAAGUCGAGCGGGGAUAGGGUGCUUGCACCUGAUUCCUAGCGGCGGACGGGUGAGUAAUGCUUAGGAAUCUGCCUAUUAGUGGGGGACAACAUUCCGAAAGGGAUGCUAAUACCGCAUACGCCCUACGGGGGAAAGCAGGGGAUCUUCGGACCUUGCGCUAAUAGAUGAGCCUAAGUCGGAUUAGCUAGUUGGUGGGGUAAAGGCCUACCAAGGCGACGAUCUGUAGCGGGUCUGAGAGGAUGGUCCGCCACACUGGGACUGGGACACGGCCCAGACUCCUACGGGAGGCAGCAGUGGGGAAUAUUGGACAAUGGGCGCAAGCCUGAUCCAGCCAUGCCGCGUGUGUGAAGAAGGCCUUAUGGUUGUAAAGCACUUUAAGCGAGGAGGAGGCUACUUUGGUUAAUACCUAGAGAUAGUGGACGUUACUCGCAGAAUAAGCACCGGCUAACUCUGUGCCAGCCGCCGCCGUAAAAC
rnacentral:rRNA from 1 species